rnacentral:rRNA from 1 species
CCUACGGGUGGCAGCAGUGGGGAAUAUUGCACAAUGGGGGAAACCCUGAUCCAGCAACGCCGCGUGAGUGAAGAAGGAUUUCGGUUUGUAAAGCUCUAUCCGCAGGGAAGAAGAUGACGGUACCAGAGUAAGAAGCCCCGGCUAACUACGUGCCAGCAGCCGCGGUAAUACGUAGGGGGCAAGCGUUAUCCGGAUUUACUGGGUGUAAAGGGAGCGUAGGCGGGGAGUCAAGUCAGAAGUGAAAGCCCGGGGCUCAACCCCGGGACUGCUAUUGAAACUGCCUGACUGGAGUGCUGGAGAGGCAAGCGGAAUUCCCGGUGUAGCGGUGAAAUGCGUAGAUAUCAGGAGGAACACCAGUGGCGAAGGCGGCUUGCUGGACAGUAACUGACGUUGAGGCUCGAAAGCGUGGGGAGCGAACAGGAUUAGAUACCCUGGUAGUC